rnacentral:rRNA from 1 species
GUAACGGGGCAAGACUAAGAGUUGGGGUAGGGGGAGAAUUGGAAUUCCUGGGUGUAGCGGGGGGAAUGCGCAAGAUAUCAGGAGGGACACCCGAUGGCGAAGGCAGAUCUCUGGGGCCGUAACUGACGCUGAGGAGCGAAAGCAUGGGGAGCGAACAGGAUUAGAUACCCUGGUAGUCCAUGCCGUAAACGUUGGGCGCUAGAUGUAGGGACCUUUCCACGGUUUCUGUGUCGUAGCUAACGCAUUAAGCGCCCCGCCUGGGGAGUACGGCCGCAAGGCUAAAACUCAAAGGAAUUGACGGGGGCCCGCACAAGCGGCGGAGCAUGCGGAUUAAUUCGAUGCAACGCGAAGAACCUUACCAAGGCUUGACAUACACCGGAAACGGCCAGAGAUGGUCGCCCCCUUGUGGUCGGUGUACAGGUGGUGCAUGGUUGUCGUCAGCUCGUGUCGUGAGAUGUUGGGUUAAGUCCCGCAACGAGCGCAACCCUCGUUCUAUGUUGCCAGCGGGUUAUGCCGGGGACUCAUAGGAGACUGCCGGGGUCAACUCGGAGGAAGGUGGGGAUGACGUCAAAUCAUCAUGCCCCUUAUGUCUUGGGCUUCACGCAUGCUACAAUGGCCGGUACAAAGGGCUGCGAUACCGUAAGGUGGAGCGAAUCCCAAAAAGCCGGUCUCAGUUCGGAUUGAGGUCUGCAACUCGACCUCAUGAAGUCGGAGUCGCUAGUAAUCGCAGAUCAGCAACGCUGCGGUGAAUACGUUCCCGGGCCUUGUACACACCGCCCGUCAAGUCAUGAAAGUCGGUAACACCCGAAGCCGGGGCCUAACCCUGUAAGACCUCAGGGUCGA